GGGAAGAUGAUGACGUUACCAACAGAAGAAGCACCGGCUAAAUCCGUGCCAGCAGCCGCGGUAAUACGGAUGGUGCGAGCGUUAAUCGGAAUUACUGGGCGUAAAGCGCGCGUAGGCGGCUAAGUCAGUCAGAAGUGAAAGCCCCGGGCUCAACCUGGGAAUUGCUUUUGAUACUGCUUAGCUAGAGUUUGGUAGAGGAUAGUGGAAUUCCAGGUGUAGCGGUGAAAUGCGUAGAUAUCUGGAGGAACAUCAGUGGCGAAGGCGGCUGUCUGGACCAAAACUGACGCUGAGGUGCGAAAGCGUGGGUAGCAAACAGGAUUAGAUACCCUGGUAGUCCACGCCGUAAACGAUGUCAACUAGCCGUCGGGUCUAUUUACAGACUUGGUGGCGCAGCUAACGCGAUAAGUUGACCGCCUGGGGAGUACGGCCGCAAGGUUAAAACUCAAAGGAAUUGACGGAAACUCAAAGGAAUUGACGG
rnacentral:rRNA from 1 species